rnacentral:tRNA from 1 species
UGCAGAUUAGAGAAACGGUUAUCUCACAAGGCUCAUAACCUUGAGAAAGUCGGUUCAACUCCGGCAUCUGCGACCA